rnacentral:rRNA from 1 species
UACGGAGGGGGGCUAGCGUUGUUCGGAAUUACUGGGCGUAAAGCGCACGUAGGCGGCUUUGUAAGUUAGAGGUGAAAGCCCGGGGCUCAACUCCGGAAUUGCCUUUAAGACUGCAUCGCUAGAAUUGUGGAGAGGUAAGUGGAAUUCCGAGUGUAGAGGUGAAAUUCGUAGAUAUUGGGAAGAACACCGGUGGCGAAGGCGGCUAUCUGGACCGACAUUGACGCUGAGGCGCGAAAGCGUGGGGAGCAAACAGG